UCUGACGAGUCGAGUUGUUUGGGAAUGCAGCUCUAAGCGGGUGGUAAAUUCCAUCUAAGGCUAAAUACUGGCGAGAGACCGAUAGCGAACAAGUACUGUGAAGGAAAGAUGAAAAGCACUUUGAAAAGAGAGUGAAACAGCACGUGAAAUUGUUGAAAGGGAAGGGUAUUGGGCCCGACAUGGGAAUCGCGCACCGCUGCUCCUCGUGGGCGGCGCUCUGCGCUUUUCCUGGGCCAGCAUCGGUUUCCGCUGCAGGAGAAGGGGCUGUGGAAUGUGGCUGGCACGCUUGCGCGCCAGUGUUAUAGCCACGGGCCAGAUGCUGCGUGUGGGGACCGAGGGCUGCGACGGCAACGUCUCGGAUGCUGGCACAACGGCGCAAUACCGCCCGUCUUGAAACAUGGACCAAGGAGUCUAACGUCUAUGCGAGUGUUUGGGUGUAAAACCCGUACGCGUAAUGAAAGUGAACGUAGGUCGGACCGCAGCAGCGGGCACGAUCGACCGAUCCUGAUGUUUAUCGGAUGGAUUUGAGUAAGAGCAUAGCUGUUGGGACCCGAAAGAUGGUGAACUAUGCCUGAAUAGGGUGAAGCCAGAGGAAACUCUGGUGGAGGCUCGUAGCGGUUCUGACGUGCAAAUCGAUCGUCGAAUUUGGGUAUAGGGGCGAAAGAC
rnacentral:rRNA from 1 species